GAUGAACGCUGGCGGCGUGCCUAAUACAUGCAAGUCGAGCGAACUGACGAGAACCUUGCUUCUCUGAUGUUAGCGGCGUACGGGUGACUAACACGUGGAUAACCUACCUAUAAGACUGGGAUAACUUCGGGAAACCGGAGCUAAUACCGGAUAAUAUUUUCAACCUUAUGGUUCAAAAAUGAAAGACGGUAUUGCUGUCACUUAUAGAUAGAUCCUCGCUGCAUUAGCUAGUUGUUACGGUAACGGCUUACCAAAGCAACGUUGCAUAGCCGACCUGAGAGGGGGAUCGGGCACCCCGGAACUGGUACACGGACAAGACCCAGACGGGAGGCAGCAGUAGCGAAUCUGAAGAUAUGGGCGAAAGCUUGACGGAGCAACGCCGAGUGAGUGAUGAAGGUCUCGGCAUCGUAAAACGCUGUUAUUAGGGAAGAACAUAUGUGUAAGCACCUGUGCACAUAGUGACGGUAACUAAUCAGAAAGGCACGGCUAAAUACGGG
rnacentral:rRNA from 1 species